GAGGGGAGGUAUCCAAAGCACAUCAACUUGACACUGGUGUUCCUCAGGGAUCAGUUCUUGGACCCCUCCUCUUCUUAGUAUACACAACAUCACUGGGUCCCAUCAUACAGGCCCAUGGAUUCUCCUACCAUUGCUAUGCUGAUGACACACAGCUCUAUCUUCCAUUUCAACCAGAUAAUCCAGUGGUAGCUGCAUGAAUCUCAGGCUACCUGGCAUAGAUGAAAGAAUAUCACUUACAGCUCAACCUGGGAAAAACUGAGCUUCUUGUCUUCCCUGCCACUCCAACUCUACAGCAUGAUUUCUCCAUCCAGCUAGGCUCUUCUACAAUUUCCCCAUCAACUUCUGUCAGAAAUCUUGGUGCAACCUUUGAUGACCAGCUGACCUUCAAAGACCACAUUGCAAAGACUGCUUGAUCUUGCAGGUUUGCAUUGCACAACAUCAGAAAGAUCAGGCCCUUUCUAACGGAGCAUGCUGCACAACUUCUUGUCCAGGCCCUUGUCAUUUCUAGACUGGACUGCUGCAAUGCUCUUCUGGCUGGACUUCCAUCAAGCACAAUCAAACUUCUGCAAAUGAUUUAGAAUGCAGCAGCAUGACUGGUCUUCAACGCACCCAAAAGAGCCCAUGUUACACCUCUCUUUAUCUCCUUGCACUGGCUACCAGUUGCGGCUUGCAUCAAGUUCAAGAAAUUGAUGCUUGCAUAUAGAACAGCGACAGGCUCAGCACCCGCCUAGUUCCACUCACUAUUACGAAUCUACAUCCCCUCCAGAAGUUUGAGAUCCGUUACCAUCACAGAGAGGCUCAAAAUCACUUUCCAGAACAUUCUCGUUCACCAUUCCUGGUUGGUGGAAUUAUCUUUCCAUCCCUAUCUGGAUAUGGAAUCCCUGACAAUUUUCAAGCAACAGCUGAAAACUCAUCUCUUUCGAAACUACUUGGCUUCAUCGUAAAAAAAAAAAAAAAAAACUUUCGCUUUAUUUAUUCAUUCACUUUUUCUAGCUUGUAAUAAUUUGAACAAUGUCUAAAAUUUGGUAUUACAAGCACUUCCUGUGUCUGUUUGCCUCUUUAAGAAGAAUUUCUUUAUGUAUCCCCCAAUUGUAAGUUGCUUUGGAUAAAAGUGUCUGAUGGAAAAACACAGGCACAAAUGCCUUUGUGUGACAACUAUUCUUUUGAGUCUUCUUAUAUCACCAAAACCUUGAUAGCAACAAUCCAAAAUGAAUCCGAGUUAGUGUGUAGAUUGUUUUGUCUGGUUUUUCAGCAUAUUGAUUGGCUCUGCAGAAAGCACUGACAUAAUAAGGAAUGGAUGAUGGGAAAUGGUGAUAGAAGAAACCCCAUGAGGAGCAGAGGACAGGCAUGUUCUGAGAUGGCCUGUCUGGUGUGGGGACCUGUGUCUUGGGGGCUUUGGGGAUAGAUGAGGUUCUGGUCUGUAGCAAAGAAGGGAGAAGAAAGAAAAAGACAGAAAUCCAGCCUAGCCCAGCUGGGUCUGUGAUUCUGCUUAAAUGUUUCCACAUCUUUGACACCCCGAGCCACCACUCGAAAUGGAGCUAGUUUAGUGUGCAGUCACAAGAUAUCUUUAUAAUGAGCUUAUGUCCGUGCAAUUUCAUUUUCUCAUUAAUUUGCAUAUUUCAAUGUUUACAUUCUUAAUGCUCGAUUCAUUGGUGCAUGUUGUUUCAAAUAUACUUUAACUCUAGUGGAUAAAAUAAAGCCCUGUCCAAUACU